UGGAGGGCAAGUCUGGUGCCAGCAGCCGCGGUAAUUCCAGCUCCAAUAGCGUAUAUUAAAGUUGUUGCAGUUAAAAAGCUCGUAGUUGAAUUUCGGGAUUUGUCAGUUGGUCGGGCUUAACUGUCCGUAUUGACUCGAUGGAUUCUUACCUUCUGAAUAACCAGCAUGCUAUUAAUUUAGUGCGUUGGGGAAGCAGAUCUAUUACCUUGAAAAAAUUAGAGUGCUUAAAGCGAGCUAGUGCUUGAAUAGAUUAGCAUGGAAUAAUAAAAUAGGACGGCAUGGUUCUAUUUUGUUGGUUACUAGGAUCACCGUAAUGAUUAAUAGGGAUAGUUGGGGGCAUUAGUAUUCAAUUGUCAGAGGUGAAAUUCUUGGAUUUAUUGAAGACUAACUUCUGCGAAAGCAUUUGCCAAGGAUGUUUUCAUUAAUCAAGAACGAAAGUUAGGGGAUCGAAGACGAUCAGAUACCGUCGUAGUCUUAACCAUAAACUAUGCCGACUAGGAAUCGGACGAUGUUAAUUUUAUAAUGACUCGUUCGGCAUCUUACGGGAAAC
rnacentral:rRNA from 1 species